CAGUGACUGUGUCUGUGUGGAGGACUGUGCGACUGACUUACCAUCCAUCAUACUGUUUCCGGCAGUUUUGUUGUAUGAAGUAUUUUUAGUGCAGUGUUACGAGUGCAUCGCUUAUGUUUUCUGGGGAAUUUGCAGUGUUUGAUGCUGAUGAAGUUACUCCUUGAGCCUUAUACUAGGUAGUUUAACUCAACUGCAACAAUAGAAGGUUAGGGCCCUUGUUCCAAAGGACGUGGCUCAUCAAGCGAAGGCAGUCAGUCGGACGAAUGAGCGCCGCUGGGCAGCUUACCCGACUUCGAGAGAAAAGAGAGAAAUCCGGAGUAGUGAAUACGGGGGUCCGCUGUACUAAGUAUGUAUGCAGAGGAACAUUCAGCGCCUAAGUGCUAUAUGACAGACUGAUUCCCUCUCUUCACUUAUGUCUAGCAGUGCAUUCAUUAACAAAAACCAAUUUGAUAUGGAACGACGGACAUGGCAAUGCCGCGCCCCACCCUUGCCUGCCCACGACUACAAGGUUUGGAAGAACUAUAGCGCCAUUAUAUUUUAAAGCUGAAACUGGGUACUUAAGACAGCAAAACUUACCUCUGAACAUCUGUCACACUGUAGAUCUUGAAGAACAAAUGCCAUAGAACUGUUAUGAAUAAGGCUAAUUAACUGGUGCUCUAUUUCACUGGAAGCAUAAUUUGUGUUACAUACAGGGCACAUCCAAACACGCCUGAAAAGUUAGAAACCUCACAUGUAGCAGAAAAGUAUGAUGAACAAAAGCAAAUAAUCUGGAAGACAUACAUACUCAAAAAAUGACUUUAAAAUUCUAAACCAUGUGGGGAAUUUGAUGAGGAUUCCCACUUAAGCUUCCCAGGGAAGUAGCUUCUACUUUUAUCCAUGGAAACAUACCCUUCUAUUAUACAAUUGGUUAACACUUCUAUGAUGAAGAAACCCUGACUUACACCAGGUAAGGGGGUUGAAUGAAAAGCACUAUCCCUGCUGAGGCACAAGGCUGUUUUGAUGUGGCUUUGUCAACAGAAGUAACAUUUUGUAAGACUGAACUGAAUACGACAGCUGAAAUGUUUCAUAGGCUGUAAGGAACUGCAGAUUUCAAUGCUUCUAAAGAGCUAGCUCUUCCAUUUCAAAAUCUUUUCUAUCACCACAAGUCUCAGUAAAGGUUUGGCUGCUUCAGAGGAAGGUAUAGAUUAGCUGUGGUCACUAACUACUUUAUUAUCAGUUUAUGAUAUGAAUCUUUUCAUAUAUGUCAGUAAUUAUUGCACCAAGGCUGAGGCUAUCCUACUGAUAAACAUCGCUUAGAAUUCAAGGUUUGAUUUUUAGAAUGGUAGAGUAAGAUGACUCCAAAUUUUUGGGGUGAAUUUUAGGAUUUAAAGGUCAUCUUAUAUGCAGAAAUAUACAGUAAUUUAUUUACCAAAAGUUAAACUUUCAUUCUGUGCUUAAUUUCUUCAUUCUUUGAUAUAGGUGCAAUCCACAUGAAUUUGAAAAUUUUGCGUCUCACUAGGCCAAGUGCGUCUCCAUGAGGCCAUAUACAUAAUACAAAUGCACAGAAUUCAUCGCUUAAUAACUCAAAGACUUUAAAUGAUAAUCCAAUUCUGAUUGAAAUAUAUGAAAAUAUGAUCAUUUAUGAAUAAAUCCAACCAUAGAAAUUUAAAAAAUAUGGGAAAUCAAAAGAGCUAUGAGUGAUGAAAGAAAAGAAUCCAAGUGAAAUGCAUCUCCAUUGGGCCCCUUACCCUAAACGAUUUAACUUUUAUAUUUUUUCAUUUAUUUUUAUUAUUACCUUUGUACAUUUCCUUGCAUUAAAUUCUCACAAGUUGUAGGGAAAGUUACUGAUUGCUGAAUACUAAAAUAUUAUUUAUUAAAUACUUUAAUUCAUAUAUACUGUAGGUUACACUAGUAUACAGUUGCUUUGUUUACACCACCUUCUCCCCAACAACAUGCUACAUGCUCAGAAUGACUAUGGCACAAACUACAGAGACUACCCAUUUUUGAUGCCACAAAAAAAAAAAAAAAAAUUCCUUUGGAAAUGAUUUAAAGUAAAAAAAAAUAAUUAAUAUAUAUACUAUGCACGAGUAAGGAAGGGUUUUUACCAGUGAACAUUACUGAGGUGCAUAAAAAAGCGAGAAAGCUUCCUAACUAAGACCCUGAGACCCUCAGCUGCAUGCACAUCAUGACGGCUUUCUUCUUAUAAGGGGAACUGAUGCAAUGGAAACUGGAAGCCUAUGAAAUGGGCUAAUUAGUUUGCAGUCCAGGUUAUAUGUAUUCAUUACUAAUCCAAAGUUAUUUCAGGUGACACCCAUCAGUUAAUGUCACAUGCUUUUCACACCCACACAAUUAUCUAUGCAGUAAAGACAACUUUAAAAGCAUACUUACAUCCCAUUUUCAACUGUCUGAUGCGAGUCUUUGCAGAGAUCAAUGUUUCGACAGUGAUUACAAGCUCGACAAAUUACCUCAGGUAGAACAUAGGAUAUACAAGGAUCUUUCCAUUCAGCAUCUGGACUAAACUCUCCAAUGUUUAGUAACUUAAGAAGGUCGCGUCGAAGUUUGUUUACCUGCAAAAUAGAGUCGGAGGCGUCCAAAAUGGUGGCGCUCUGGGGGUCGCUUGGGCUACAGGGUCCACCCUCCUUGGAGGGUUUGCUAACGCACUUCUUGGAUGCUCACCUUCCCCCUCUUCAGGCUGCCCAGGCUCUCCCCCCCUUAGGCUCAGAUAUAUCACUUAGCAAUUACUACUUGGGAGGAAUCAUUCUGUUAAUACUAUCAUCAUCAUCUUCAUCAUCAUUGCAACAACUGAAUAUACAGUGGACCCCUCGUAUUCCCGUUCUCCAGAUUCACACAUUCGCAGAUGUCCCUCGGGAACAUUUCCCCGCAUUAUUCGUGGAAAAUUUGCAUAUUCGCGGUAUUUUUCUAUGAGAAAUAUCCACAAAUUCCUGGUUUUAUUUAUCAAUUUCAUCAUAAAAUGCACUUUUUGUGAUAAAGCUAUUAAAAAAACCAAGUAUAAAAAUUUUUAGUGGGUUUUUCUUGAGUUUUAACUAACAAAAUAGACUGUUUUCAGCAUUCUUAUAGGGGUUCUAACUAUUAAUGGGGGGGUCUGGUACACAUCCCCCACAAAUAUGGGGGGACCACUGUAUAGAAGUGUACAUAUAAAGUCCCUUUGCUAAUUUACACCUGUUAACCCUUAAACGCCGAAGCGGUAAAAAAAAAAAGUCUCCCGUGUGCCGGAGGUGUUUCAGAGUAGCGCGGAAGCGGAAAAAAUAUUUUUUUUUCAAAAAAUCACAGCGCUUAGUUUUCAAGAUUAAGAGUUCAUUUUUUACUCCUUUUUUUGUCAUUGGCCGAAGUUUAGUAUGCAACCAUCAAAAAUGAAAAAAAUUAUCAUCAUAUAUAAAUAAUGCGAUAUAUGAUAGCUCAAAAACGAAAUUUCAUAUAUAAUUGUAUUCAAAUCGCGCUGUGCGCGAAACGGUUAAAGGUAACAAGUUACCUUAUUUUUCGUUGUAAUGUACACUAAAUUGCAAUCAUUUUGGUAUAUAACACAUUGUAAAACGAUAAAAGCAACACAGAGAAAAUAUUAUCACAAAAUAAUGCAUGAAUUCGUAACGCACGGACGUAAACAAAUAUUUUUUUCAAAAAUUCACCAUAAAUCUAAAUAUUGUCCUAGAGACUUCCAAUUUCUUUCAAAAUGAAGACAAAUGAUUGAAUAUUACUAUACUGUAAGAGUAUUAGCUUACAAAUGCAGUUUUCAACCAUAUCUGACGAGUUAAAGUUGACCGAAUGUCGAUUCUUUUUAUAUAUUUUUUAUAUGCAAUUAUUUCAGAAAUAAGAAAAGCUACAACCUUCAAAUAUUUUUCGUUUUAUUCUACAUGAAAUUGCUCACAUUUUCAUAUAUAAAACUCUAUGAAAUGCCUAAUAUGAAACGGAGCAAAUAUUCCGAGAAAGGGACGUACGCAUUUCAGAGAUUUGUGGCGGAGAAUCCGCGCGCGGAGGGAAGGAAAGUUUUUUUUUUUUAAAUUCACCAUAAAUCUAAAUAUUGUGAUAAAGACUUCGAAUUUGUUUCAAGAUGAAGAUAAAUGACUGAAUAUUACUAGACUGUAAAAGUUUUAGCUUACAAUUGUGUUUUUCGACCAUUUCGGUAGAGUCAAAGUUGACCGAAUGUGGUUUUUUUUCUAUUUAUCGUGAUUUAUAUGCAAAUAUUUCAAAAAUGAGAAAAGCUACAACCUUCAAUUAUUUUUUGUUGUAUUCUACAUGAAAUUUCGCACAUUUUCAUAUAUAAACUUCAUGUAACGGCUAAUUUAAAAUGGUGCAAACAUUACCACAAUCGCACGUAUGAUUUUUUCGGAAGUUACCGAGCCGAUGUAAAGAAAAUGUUAUGUUUUUCAUAAAUUCACCAUAAAUCGAAAUAUUGUGCUAGAGACUUCCAAUUUGUUGCAAAAUGAAGGUAAAUGCUUGAAUAUUACUAGAAUAUAAGCGUUUUAGCUUACAAUUGCGUUUUUUGACCAUUUCGGUAGAGUCAAAGUUGACCGAAGGUUGAAAAUUUGUCACAUAUUUUUUAUAUGAAAAUAUUUCAAAAUUGAUAAAAGCUACAACCAUGGGUUGUUUUUAGAUGUAUAGUGCAUGAAAUUGCGCACAUUUCCAUAUAUAAAACUUUAUGUAAUGGCUAAUUUUAAAAUGGUGCAAACAUUACCACAAUCGCAUGUAUGAUUUUUUUCGGAAGAGUUACCGCGCGGACGUAAGGAAAAAGUUUUUUCAUAAAUUCACCAUAAAUCAAAAUAUUGUGCUAGAGACUUUCAAUUAGUUGCAAAAUUAAGGUAAAUGAUUGAAUAUUACUAAAAUAUAUGAGUUUUAGCUUACAAUUGCGUUUUUUGACCAUUUCGGUAGUCAAAAGUUGACCGAAGGUUGAAAUUUUGGCACUUAUCGUUAUUUAUAUAAAAAUAUCUCAAAACUGAUAAAAGCUUCAAUCAUGAGUAUUUUUUUGUUGUAUUCUACAUAAAAAUGCGCACAUUUUCAUAUAUAAUACUCCAUGUAACGGCUAAUUUAAAAUGGUACAAAAAUUAUGUCAAAGUGACGAAAUAAUUUCCGAGAUGUGUCACAGAUACUUUUUAAUGCGGCAAGAAAGAAAUUUGCGCUUGCGCGCCUGCGUAACGAUUGUAAACAAAACAAUACCUCGAUCCGUGAACUCCCAGCAUCCCCCAAGGAGCGUGAUUCAAAAGUUUUCGGCUGGUAGGGCUAUAAGUAUUUUUUAUGCGAAUUUAAAAAAAAAAAAUUUUGAGUCGACAUAUGGUACGUCCAUUCGGCAUACGGGAGACAUUUUGACUCAACGUUUAAUACGUCCAUUCGGCGUUUAAGGGUUAACAUUGAAAUUUUAAUGAAGAAGAGAUUUUACUGAUGUAGAUUGAGUUAGCUCAUAGUACGAUAAAGGUACAGAAUUACGGUAAGGAAAAAUUACUGAGGGUAUGGUACAAAAUUACGGUAUGGUAUUUUAGCCAAGUAUGAAGCACAGAAAAACAUUCUGUACUGUACCUUACAAUCAGUCUUGGCUACAGACGACAGCCGUCGACACAAACGAAGACAUAGCA